rnacentral:lncRNA from 1 species
CCAAAGGCAAAUGUGCCUCUACAUUAUUAUUUUUCUUUUAAAUCAUGCCUCUCUCUUCUUUCUUCUGUUUGAUUGUAUGAAUUGUUGUUUUGUACAUGUUGCUAAGGUUUAUUCUGUUUCUUUAGUGCAAUUUGAUUGAUCACUGUUUUCAAAAUUUGUCUUUUGCAAGUCAUAAGGUACCGGGCAAAAACAAACAAAUAAACAAACAAACUAGUUUUGCAUGACCGCUAAAACCCCUUAGUUAAAAGAUAAAUGCAUUUUCGUUGUUUGCAGUUAGCCUCCUGUCCAGAUGGUGGCGGUACUGCGCCCUGGUGCUGUUUGCUGAUACAGUCCUAGAAGAAAACAUCCGUUUGUGUAACAUCAAUGUUUCCCCUUACAUCAGUGGGGUUGACUCAGACAGGGGUUUAAAAUCCUAACUUAAGUGCUUGUCCACGCGGACAUGUUUUGCAAAUUAAGCGUCAGUUUAGCUGCAGGCUUCGUCAAGUUUCCAACUUGUGUGACAUCAAGGACUUUAAGAACAGUGGGACCAUCAUCAUGUCUCUGCAGACACCAGCAUCAGAGUCUUAGCAGCGAGUCUGAAGGUGUCAGGGUGUUGUAUGAUGGACUCUGUCCCAUUUGUGUGACAGAGAUCCGCUUCCUCCACUUUCUGAAUAGAAACCAGGCUGGGAAAGUAGAUUUUAUCGACAUCGCCAAGCCGGGUUAUGAUGCAGCAAAAUACAAGGAUGUCACCUAUGAGAUGGCUAUGGAGGAAAUGCAUGUGAUCGAUGAGAAAGACCAGGUUCACCGUGGGGUUCCAGCAUUCGCAGUCAUGUACAGUGCGGUGGGCCUGAACUGGCUGGCUCGCCUCAUGAUGUGGUCACCCGUGAGGCCGCUCAUGGACAAAUCAUAUGCAGUCUUUGCCAGGAAUCGGCUCAAAUGGACAGGACGUGGGGAUGAAUGCACUACUGGUCGCUGUGAAAAGAAAACCAACUGACUGGCAACCACAGAAAAUAAAGCAUUUGUAAUGGCGGUCUAAAUACUACAGUCAAUUAAAAAGCAACACUGUAUGAAUUUUUUUUCUUUCUAGUAUCAUUAAAAGAAAUCUAUAUUAUGCAUACAACAUUUUCUUCAUGUACAGCAAUUCUCCUUUCAGAUGUUUCAAAUAAAUACUUUCAGUUGAUAGUUUCUGGUAAGUGUUUUUCUCAACUCUGCAGCUGACGUAUCCUUCAAAGAAAAUUCUGGUGGAUGACAAACAACCAGAUAAAUAACAUGGAGCUGCAGAAACAGACGCCAAUUUUGAAACCAAAGUCUGUGACUGUGAGGGAUGGAGGAAGGUUUAGAUUUCAGUAAAUGUGCCAUUUAGAGAUAAGACCUAAAGUCACUGAAGCAAAUACAGCAAUUCCUUUGUCAAGCCCUGAAUUUCAAGCAGGUUCUGUCAAAAAGAGGGUAAUCAAAAAAGGACUAUCGGCAAGCUGCCACUAGGUGUCAUUGUAAGUCUAAAAUAAUUGUAGAAGGUGAAAAAUUGCAGUCAUAGAAUUGAAUGAAAUGUCAGCAGUGAAUGAUCAGAUUCUCUUGUCUUUCUAUUUUUUAACUCCUCCAAACGAAAAAAAUGAGAAGAUUUCUAAAUGCUGAUAAGUAUUUAUGUGACCAAACCAGUACAGACUAUCAUGUCUUUUUAUUACAAGGCUGAUUGAGGCUGAACUUUAGAGCAUUUUAUUUAUAUAUGAAUAGAUCUUUACAUAUAUAUUUAUAUACAUAUACCGUUACUGGGAGGGAAAUCUGACACGUUUGCACCUUCUGAUUCCAGGGAGGUGUGUUUUUAUCUGCAAUCACCUGACUUCCUGGAUGCCACUUUCCCUAAUUUUAGACUGGAGCGUGUGUGCAGCAAUAGUGUCACUCCUGUGAUGUUUUGAUGACGCACACUCCCAGUCUGGAUCCUCCAAUGUGAUUACAGCUCUGCAUGUGUCACAUAAACAUCAGACUGAGCCUCUCUCACAGUGUGUAGGCUUGACUUCCUGAGAAAAGGAGUUUGCUGACAGAGGUCAUACAAAGAUAAAACAGGUAAAACUUAUCCAUAUGAUUUUCUAAACACAAUUAUAGCAAAGAAGUGAGUGCUACUGUAGCAAUGACUUUAACCUCACUGUAGGAGAAAGCCAGUGUUCAGUUGUGUAACAUAGCUGCCUGCCUCUCUUUGUGUGAGGGUUUGAGUACAGACAAGGUCAGAUAUGUUUUUGCAGUCAAUCUGCAUCAACAGACAGCUUAAAGGGCCACACAGGUCACAUAGAUGGAGAUGUGUACUGCAUUCCAAGCACACGGUGUUCCAGCACUUGAAACUAUAGAAAAAUAUGCUCUGAUCAGCUGACCUGAAAGACUGCAUGCUGUCUGUUUAGCUGUUUGUUUGGCUGUUUAAGGCCAGCUUCAUAUGAUUACUUUUGACAAAACUGUGUAAGUAAAAAAUAUGUUAUUAUUUUUAUUACAUUUUUAUUGUAACUAAAAGUAACAAAUUCACACAGUUUUGUUGCUUUACUUCAUAAUUUACAAAUUUGUUGUGAAACAUUACCUCAAGAUUUAUUUCUUUAAAUUCCAAAAUGAAAUAAAAUGCUAUUUUGUAAGCUUGACUGCAGCAAACAGCUAAAGAUUAACUUUUAUUUUUUGGUACUUUGGCAUGUAAGAGUCCAGGCUAAUCAUACAAUCCAAGUUUUACCUUCCUCCUACUUUGGACCUUUUUCCAAAGCAGCAAUUAGGUUUGUCUCGGUGCAUAUUUAUCUCAGUAAUCCCUAUAAACACCUUUUUCUUUGCCCCACUUUAACAGUAAUGUGAGGAAAGUGGGAAAAAAAAUACUCCAUCAUUGUUUUCACUGUAUUUAAUAAGUUUUAUGCCCUUUGAACAACUUAUUAUUUUUAAAAGUGCAGACCUCUUUAAAAAAAAAAAAAAAGAUUUUUUAUUUAUUUAUUUAUUUAUUUUACUGGUUUUGGUAAAAACAAGUAAAUUUGAAAAGUGUUAAAGAGAAGCUCCUGCUGUAGCACAUCAGUUUUUGGAAUACUUAAUUUCUAAGAUUUUUAAUGUUUUACUUUCAAAAGCAUUUUUUUCUUUUUCUAAAGUAAAAUCUUAGGAAAAUGCUCCAUCAUCAAAAAAAAAAAACAAUGUGAAGUUGCUUUCUUGCCAAAUAAAAAACUCAUAAAAAGUACUCAGUAAAUCUUAGGAAAUCCCUAUGUUUCAACUCAGUAUGAUUUUGAUUUGUUAUUUGUUUUAACCUCUAAAGUCAUAUUGACCAAAAUAUACCAGGAACAAAUGUGAGAUGAUGAUAAUGAUAAUGGUAAAGUUUAAUAACGCAUUACCAUUUUGUGUUUACAGGUCAGUAAAAAUGCAGAGUAAAUAGAAAGUCGAUAUAUUUUGAACAUCUCUCUGAGUCCAUUAGGCUCUGAUCAUUCUUUACUUUUCUUCCAGACUCCUGUUGAAUGGUGUUCUAUAAUCUCUCAGAGUUCUCAAAUACAUCCAAGUGCUUCUCGCCCAGUCAGGCCAUUAAUAGGUCACUACCUUAUCCCCACCAUUUGUCUAAGUUCAGGGAUGAGAAAUCCUUUUUGCUGAGGGAGGCACACAAUAAGCCUUCUCAAUAGGCCUCCUCAAAGGACCUUUUUUCUGGAGCUGCAUCUUGUCUGUGCCUUGAAUCACAGGAACAUUCACAGCUUUAAGAUGUGCUAGCACAUUUCAAAGUAUAAAGCAGACUGAUACAAGCUUUUCUUUUUUUUCCCCACUGCCUUAGAAAGUGUACCAAAGAAGUGAGGCGUCUCCACAGUGUGCUCCGUUUUUCAUCUUAUAGAAGUC